GCCGAUGUGGUGAAACGGCAGACACGGUAGACUCAAAAUCUACUGUCCGCGAGGACGUGUCGGUUCAAGUCCGACCAUCGGCA
rnacentral:tRNA from 1 species